GCUGCGGGCCCCGCGCACCCACCCCUGCUUCCUUCUGGCUUCCGGCGGCGACCUGCAGGGGGUGGCUCUGAGUGGGCGGGGUCGACCUCCCGCCACACCUCCAGGUUCCAAUGGCUUCACAAGCAAAGUCUAUCAGAUAUUUGAAGAAGACAUAACUCUGAUCUACAUAAUCUCUUCCAGAAAUGGAAGGAACACCUCACAACUCAUAUGGAUAUACAUCUUUAGGGCAUUUCAAAAUAUACCAACAACUUUCAGAUCCAGAGAAACUCAGGAAAAUAAGGGCCAGUAAAUGUUAUCUACUAUCAACUUCCAUCCAAUGUAGAAAUCUGUUGAAGAACACUAGUUAAAAAAGCAACAACACACACAAAAAAAAUUCCCUCUUUGCAUUAUGUCUAGACCAAUGGCGUGGCUGCUGUGACCAUGAAAGUCAUUUUUCUAUCCCAGAAGAUGUGCUGCCUCACAAAGUGACUAAUCUAAAGCUGACUUUAUUGCCAUAUAAAUUUCAGAGACCCUUACAUGCAUGGUCUUUUCCAAGACUCUGCACUAAACUUAGAACAAACAAUUCUGUAUUCUUUGUUCAUAAAUAAAGC